rnacentral:rRNA from 1 species
GAUGAACGCUGGCUGCGUUCUUAACACAUGCAAGUCUAACGGUUAAGGCGGAGCUUGCUCUGCUGGAUCAGUGUCGAACGGUUUAGUAACACGUGAGCAAUCUGCCCCUUACUCUGGGCUAAGCGCUGGAAACGUCGUCUAAUACUGGAUACGAGCUGCGAAGGCAUCUUCAUCAGCUGGAAAGAAUUUCGGUCAGGGAUGAGCUCGCGUCCUAUCAGCUUGUUGUUGAGUUAAUGGCUCACCAAGGUGUCGACGGGUAGCCGUCCUGAGAGGGUGACCGGGCACACUGGGACUGAGACACGGCAAAAACUCCUACGGGAGGCAGCAGUGGGGAAAAUUGAACAAUGGGCGAAAGCAUGAUGGAGGAAGGCAGCGUGAGGAACGACGGACGUCGGGUUGAAAACCUCUUUGAGAAGGGAAGAAGCGAAAGUGACGGUACCUGCAGAAAAAGCGCAGGCUAAAUACGUG